AUGGUGCUUGCUAUAGAGUCACAUCAGCCUCAGCAGGACCUGCAAGGAACCAGCUGUGGGCCAGUGGUGAUCACCAGGGCUGCACAACCUUGCACAAGUGACAGGUGGGCUCCAGACAGAGAGACCUGCACAACAAGCAAAUGCUGUCUUGGUAUGCCACAGAGGUCUUCUCUCUUUGUCUCCUUGAAUCUUCCCAAGAGAUCCAGCCUGGCCACACUGGUUUUGUGCUAACUGAUGCCUAGAAAAAUAUAGAAGCAGUAAAUAGGACAGAUCGAUGUGCGUUGAGCAAUUCACAGCUGCGCCAAAACUCUCAGCUGAACACUGGGGCUUCAGGAUUCAAACAGCCCAGAAGAAUUGAUCUGCUGAGUCCACAGCAUC
rnacentral:lncRNA from 1 species